CUACGGGAUGCAGCAGUGAGGAAUAUUGCACGAUGGGGGGAACCCUGAUGCAGCAACGCCGCGUGGAGGAUGACGCAUUUCGGUGUGUAAACUCCUUUUAUAUGUCAAGAAAAUGACGGUAGCAUAUGAAUAAGCACCGGCUAACUCCGUGCCAGCAGCCGCGGUAAUACGGAGGGUGCAAGCGUUACUCGGAAUCACUGGGCGUAAAGGACGCGUAGGCGGGUUGGAAAGUCAGGUGUGAAAUCCUACAGCUUAACUGUAGAACUGCACUUGAAACUUCUAAUCUAGAGUAUGGGAGGGGGAGGUAGAAUUAGUGGUGUAGGGGUAAAAUCCGUAGAUAUCACUAGGAAUACCUAAAGCGAAGGCGAUCUCCUGGAACAUUACUGACGCUAAGGCGUGAAAGCGUGGGGAGCAAACAGGAUUAGAUACCCGGGUAGUC
rnacentral:rRNA from 1 species